GGUAUGUGCAGUUCCCAGCAAACUUUCUCAUUUGUGCUGCAACUCUUAGUGCAAGAAUUGCAAACUCAAACAUUUACAGAGCCAGGAAGGUACAGUGGAUGAUAGGGCAGGUGGAGUGGAAAAGAAUAGGGAUUACUGAGGACAGUGGCAAUCUGGAGAGCUCAUUUUUUUCCACUAAAAAGGAGCAACAGCUGUUCAGCUCCAGCUCCAGCUCAUUGUGGCCAUUCGGAAAUGAAUGUUAAGUCCAAGAUUGCUAAACCUGAUCUUUCUAGAGAAACUGAAAAUAAUACAGAUUAUGUGAAAUAUGAUCUCCAAAUGUUGGCAGUUAACUCAUUUUCUUUUUAACCAAAAAAAUUUAAGGGCCACCUGUUUGCAAUCUCUUUUUUUUUUUUUUUUUGGUGGGGGGGGGAUGGAGUUUUGCUCUUGUCACCCAGGCUGGAGUGCAGUGGCUCCAUCUCAGCUCACUACAACUUUCACCUCCCAGGUUCAAGCGAUUCUUCUGCCUCAGCCUCCUGAGUAGCUGGAAUUACAGGCGCCCACCACCAAACCUGGCUAAUUUUUGUAUUUUUGGUAGAGACAGGAUUUCACCAUGUUGGCCAGGCUGGUCUCGAACUCCUUACUCAAGUGAUCCAUCCGCCUCAGCCUCCCAAAGUGCUGGGAUUACGUGAGUCACCACACCCGGCCUGCAGUCUCUUCUUAGUGAGUCAAUAUUUCUGAUGUAACAUCAGUUAUCAUCGUCAUCAUGAUGACGUUUCACUCUGUCGCCGAGGCUGGAGUGCGAUGGCGCGAUCUCGGCUUACUGCAACCUCCGCCUCCUGAGUUCAAACAAUUCUCUUCCCUCAGCCUCCUGAAUAGGUGGGAUUACAGGCCUGUGCCACCAUGCUCGGCUAAUUUUUGUAUUUUUAGUAGAGGCAGGGUGUAACCAUAUUGGCCAGGCUGGUCUUGAACUCAAGUGAUCCACCUGCCUCAGCCUCCCAUCAAAUAACUUGUUUAUUAAAAAGCUUAUGUUCUUUUCACAGUCAAAACUGGGUUGAGGUUUUGUUUCUAGGGAGAUCUAGAAUGAAAUUGGAAAGUCUUGUUAGGUCUUGCAUCAAAUAUUAGAAACCCUAAAUGAUUAGAAAAAGAUCAUUAUGCAUUCAAUUAAAUAACGUAAUUUAAAAUAAGGAUGGGGUGAAAGAGAACAUCCAAUAGGGAGAGUAUUUUAUUGGUUUUUAUUCCUCAGUGGACUAAUGUCUGGAACAUUGACACUAUGAAAUGAGUUCAAAGGUAUCUAAACAAGGCAGAAAUUGUUGCGUUUGAUUUGUUUUUGUGUUUGUUUGUUGCUUGUUUUAAUCAUGCAAACCCUCAAUGAAAACUUCAAUGCUAAACAUUAGGUUAGUCUAUGGUACAAACCUAGUAUUAGGAAACUAGAGAGCACAGAUAAUGAAAACCACAGCUAAUUCGGAAUCCUCAGUUUGAACCUAUAGUUUCAACCUCUUUCAUCAAAAUUUUGCUACCAAUAAUCUAAACAGUAACAAAUUGGUUUAUGAGUUUCAUCUCCUUUCCUAGUUUUGCAGGCAUUAAUAAGGGGGAAAAUGGCAGAGAAAACUGUGAGUUGGAUGGAGAAGGGAAACAGUAGGCCUCGUUCACUGGGAAACUGGUUGUCAACCUCAGAUUAAUUUAGGUUAUAAGAGACCAUACAGGACAAACACCUCUUUUAAAGAAAUAAUUCAUUUGUCAUGACCAGUUCACUGAUCCAGUAGUUGCAUUUAAUGUUUUUAUGUUUACACUGAAGAUUUUUUCAUUAAUGUACUGUUAUUGAACAUCUUUCAUGAAUUAUAAGCUGUAAAAUAUUUUAAUCCUUGACUCAUUUAUUUACCAAGCUAUUCAUUUAAUGCUAUAUAAUAUGUAGCACUUGAGACCAUCUGUUAGGAGUAUUUGAAUAAUACGCACACUGUGAAGAUAUGCACAGCAAAUAAAGCACAAAACACAUGAAAUAUUCAGGAAGAGUUUGCGAUGAAGACAAUCCAUGUGUUUUAAUUUUUUAAAAUGUCUGAAAUCUAGCAGUAAGUCUUUCCAAAAAUGAAGCUCUCUUCUUAUUCUGGGCAAGUUGCUAUAUUGAGAUGGCAUUAAGGUGUCAUCCUAACUUUAAGUGAGCAGAUUUUACAUUAAAAUAUUGGAAUUAAUGCCAAUUAGAAUUGUGGUUUCUAAGAGCCCUUCAUUAAAUGGGACAAGAUAUCACAGAGUAAGUGCCGCAGUCACUUGGGAAUCAUAACAAGCAUUCUGUUUUGUGAAGCAAGCCAAAGAGGAAGGCUGUGAUUAGGGGAUGACUUGGAUGUCCUGGGGUCAUCCUUGGAGGCAAGUAUUUGAGGGGAGCACCAGGUUUCAUCUGUAGUCUUGGAAUUACUAAGCUUGGUGCGGUGAUUGGGCUACAGAAUCCUAGGUAUUGAAAGGUCCUUUAAUCCCAUUGGAGGCUGAGGCCAUGUAUUUCUGUCCUCUGACUUGGUGGAGGGUCAAGAGGAGGUUAACAUCAUGCGCAGGUCCUCCAAAGCAAGGGACCUUUUGGAAGAUCAAAAAUUGAGGUUUUCUUAGUCAGCUGCAUAUAGACACCUGGAUUCUUAGACCUAUCCACCUCUCAGCCCUGACCGAUUCUAAGGAGCCUCACUCACCCCUGACAGACUUGUUGUCCAGUGUUACACCACUUGAUAUGCUAUAGCCUGUCACGAUGCCUCCUGUGAGAAUGGACCAGGAUGGUGUAUACAUGGGACAAAAUGUGGUUCCCGCCAGACUAAGGGGGGAUGUCUGGCCAAUUACAGUUCCCAAUCCUAGUAUUCACUCUUUAGCAGUGGCUUCCCUAACUGCUUUCAACUCUGGUGUUUUGAUGCCCAAACCAGACCCCCUUGGAAUUAAAAACAGUCUACUUUUUUAGUUUUUGUUACUGGUCUCACAAUAGUAGAGCGAUGCCACUCGUAGGUGUCCCUCAGGCUCCCAGAGCACAUCCCUUUGUUAAAAGGCAUAAAAAGACCACAGCAGCGAACCACGCCUUAAUUUCUGAUGUGCUGUUCCAUAUAUAUCACUAUAUUAGGAUACUAGCAUAUUAUUUCAACCUUUCAUCUUGUCUUUACUCUUUCAGCUGUGUUACGGACUCCAUAAUAUUUGUUAUUAUCCACUAAUUAUUCCUCUCUCUUGAUUCCCACAGACUGGCCAAUCAUUUUAUAAAUGCCUUUCAGUUGUCUUUACACUUAGUUCUUAUUUGUUGAGCAAAUUGAUGCAUUAAAUGGGCCUCACUUAAGUUACUCUUCGGUUUUAUGUUUGGCAUUCCCUAGUAACUAAAUGAAUUUCAGUGUGCAUCUCUAAAUGGUGAAUAUACUCCUACCUUUAUCAUCUUCACACUCAUAUUUCCCUUUGUCCUGACUCAUUUAUUUCAUCAUUUUAAUUUGUAUGCAUUUUUGUAAAUCCCUCAAAUCUUUUGUGGGAUUGGGCAUCUUAUGGAUAAAUGUUUUAAAUCUGGCAUUGCUUCCAAUCCUGCUUAUUCCAUUCCAUCAAACUCGCAUCUGAUCUUUGUUGACCUCCAACAAACUCCCUUGUGCAUUUGUGUUUUUUUUUUGUCCUUGCUUCUGGGUCUAAUAGUUAUUUCUUAAAAAUAGACUAAGAAUUCCUUGAGCCUCUAGUCAUUGUGACCCCAAGAUGGACACUUAGCAUAGUGGCUGUAAUAUUGUUGGUACUCAAUAAGUAUUUGUUGUAUAAGUGAUCAAAUUAUUUUUAUCAAGAUUUAUAUGAAAAUGUAAACAAUGUUAUCCUAUAGGAAACCCCUUUGAAGUGAUUAAAAAUAGGGGUUUUUAACAGGCAGUGGGAGUUGGCACUAGAGGACAAAUUAUUGCUACAGAAAACAUUGCAGAGUGAACUGGGAAAAAGCAAAAAUAAAUGUUCAUCUCAAAUCAUAGGCAGUCUACCAAAAUUUGAUGAGUAUCCUUAAUCAACUUCUUCAUUCAUUCCUUCAUUUUAGUGAGGACUUGUCAUAUCCUCCUGCAGAUAUUUGUUUGCUUGUUCAUCUGUACACAUUCUGAGCAGAACAGAAUGUCUGCUUCCUAAUGCUUCCCUACUGCUUAUAGGUCACAUGUCACAUUCUAGGUCCUCAGUAAUGCGUAUUAGAGAAAGGAGUGGAGGGAAGAGCUUAGAGGCUGAUUCUUUGAAACACAGUGUAAGAAGGUUUUACUUUUUUGUUGUAUGUGAUUUGGAUGGCAGCAUGCUGAGAUUUUAAUUAUCUACUUUAAAAUAUUGCAACCAUGGUUAUUAUAAAACACUUUCCAUUGUCCUUGAUAAAGAGAGGAGUUCCCAUUCUAAUUUGACUUAUAUUUGUAAUUAAUGAGAAAGAAAGAAACCUUGAGUGGUCCCUAAUUGAAACAGGGUGUACCUUGAUCCACUUUUGUUUAGGAGUCUUAUAGAAACUCUAGACAUAACAAUAGUUUUCUUAAUUAUAUCAUGAUCCAAAAAUAAACAUAUUAUUUUGAUGAGAACACUAAGCAAGAUAGGCUUUUCCACCCGAAGUCCUUUAUUUAAUAUACAUGUCUUUCAUUGAACAGUCUGCAAGAAUGAGUCCAGAAUAAAACCUCAGUGCAGCAUGCAAAGUAAAUUUCAUCUUGAGUGUUAAUGGAUUGAUCAACAGUUGCUGCUGUGUUCUGGAAAUUGAUGAGAUUUCAUUUGGGCUCUCUCAUUCAUCCAUCAAUCCAAUCCACCAUCCAUACAUACAUCCUUCCUUCCUUCUACUCAACAAAUAUAUAUUGAAAAUCUGCUAUGUGCAAAACACUAUUUUAAAACACUGCUGGUACAGAGUUGAACAAGAUGUGCAAAAACGUGCCAUGAUUAAUGAUGUCUACCAAGUGCUCAUGAAGUUCAUGCUUCCCCCCAGCCCAUUUUUUUUGAGGAGCAAUUUUGAAUCUUUUAAGGCCUGUUCAAGUUAAAGUGACCAAUUAAGUACUCGAGUUAAUCAUAGCAGCAGCAAUUCACAGAACUUGAGUGUUAUGUUCUGUGAGGAUGAUACUUCAUAUCAUCUCACCAAUGCUGAUCUUAGACGAUGAGGUAAUCUAGAUGCACCCUGUAGCAUGAAGAACUAAUGAUGAGCUCACAUGAAUUUUUUUCAUGACUCUCUUAGUUAACCCAUGGGUUUAAUUUUGAAAAAAAAAAAAAAUGUAGGUGAAAUAUGGGAGAUGUUUCUAAGCAAGAUUGAAAGAAUGCUGAAUUAUCUUCACUACAGGGACAAUUCUUUAAUAAUUUAAGUAAUAAUGUAAAUGGACUGUUGUGAUCCUUUUCUGUAUUGCAGAAAACUCACUACCAUUCUUCACUUGGAAUUGCAGUCAUAUAAUUUAGAAAUGAAACAUAAAGUAAAUUUUAUAUAAGAAAUCUGCAUCAAUGUUUAUGACACAUGAAUUCUUUGGAGAAAAAUAAGUACCAAAUUGCUGAAUGGGUUGAGAAUUGUAUGUAAGAGGACGUUUUCAGUAGCUUCUAAAUUGAAUAAUACUAGCCGAAAAUUUUUCAUACCCAAAACCUAAUGAUGCCUGAUUUAGCCUUUUUUUAAUUGAGAAUAAUUAUCUUCAUAAGAUAAAUACACUUACCAUCAAAAACAAACAUUGAAUCAUGGGGAAAGAUGUGUUAAUCAAUAAAAAAUCUUGAGGCAACUAAAUGCUAUCUGGAAAAAAUAUAAAUUCAUAUCCAUACCUCAGUCAUUCCAGCAAAAGAGAUUCAAUAUGGAUUAAAAUUUAAACAUAAAAAUGACAAGUACCAAAUAAAAUGUUGGAUUUUUUGUUCUGUUUUGUUUCUUAAUACUCUCAGAAUAGAGAAGACCUGUCCAUUCACAUCAUAAAACCUAAAUUCUGUAGAGAAAAAUAUUGAUAUAGUUGACAAUAUAAAGUUUUUUAAAUGUUUGAACAACAACAACAAAAAACUAUAAACAAA